UACGUAGGUGGCGAGCGUUGUCCGGAUUUACUGGGCGUAAAGAGCGCGCAGGCGGUCGUACAAGUCGCGUGUGAAAGCCCCCGGCUCAACUGGGGAGGGUCACGCGAUACUGAUCGACUCGAAGGCAGGAGAGGGUAGUGGAAUUCCCGGUGUAGUGGUGAAAUGCGUAGAUAUCGGGAGGAACACCAGUGGCGAAGGCGACUACCUGGCCUGUUUCUUGACGCUGAGGCGCGAAAGCUAGGGGAGCAAACGGG
rnacentral:rRNA from 1 species